UAUUGGAAAAUGGGGGGAACCCUGAUCCAGCGACGCCGCGUGAGUGAAGAAGUAUUUCGGUAUGUAAAGCUCUAUCAGCAGGGAAGAAAGAAAUGACGGUACCUGACUAAGAAGCCCCGGCUAACUACGUGCCAGCAGCCGCGGUAGUACGUAGGGGGCAAGCGUUAUCCGGAAUUACUGGGUGUAAAGGGAGCGUAGACGGUGAUGCAGGUCAGAAGUGAAAGCCCGGGGCUCAACUCCGGGACUGCUUUUGAAACUGUGUAACUGGAGUGCAGGAGAGGUAAGCGGAAUUCCUAGUGUAGCGGUGAAAUGCGUAGAUAUUAGGAGGAACACCAGUGGCGAAGGCGGCUUACUGGACUGUAACUGACGUUGAGGCUCGAAAGCGUGGGGAGCAAACAG
rnacentral:rRNA from 1 species